rnacentral:rRNA from 1 species
GAUGAACGCUGGCGGCGUGCCUAACACAUGCAAGUCGAACGGACUUACAUUGAAGCCUAGCGAUAUGUAAGUUAGUGGCGGACGGGUGAGUAACGCGUGGGUAACCUGCCUUGUACUGGGGGGCAACAGUUGGAAACGACUGCUAAUACCGCAUAAGCGCACAGCUUCGCAUGAAGCAGUGUGAAAAACUCCGGUGGUACAAGAUGGACCCGNGUCUGAUUAGCUAGUUGGUGAGGUAACGGCCCACCAAGGCGACGAUCAGUAGCCGGCCUGAGAGGGUGAACGGCCACAUUGGGACUGAGACACGGCCCAAACUCCUACGGGAGGCCAGCAGUGGGGAAUAUUGCACAAUGGGGGAAACCCUGAUGCAGCAACGCCGCGUGAGUGAAGAAGUAUUUCGGUAUGUAAAGCUCUAUCAGCAGGAAAGAAAU